UGCACAGCGACAGCGUGCAUUGGGGUUGCUUGACAAGCCACGGGCACGGACGCAGCUGCCUGCUUUGCGCACCCCCUCCCCAGUCAUACGUAUCUCCUUUGGUUGAGACCUUCCUAUGAUAAUGGCCUUUCUCGCGACUUCGCACCUGCUUGCUGGUGCAUCGAGGCUGCCAUUGAUACUGCUCUCCUCGCCUCCGUUGCGUCAAUGCUCAUCCUUGUUUCGGGCCGACGCGCAGCAGACCCUCAAGCCCAGCGCAAUCGAACGGGAGCUCCGCGAUCCAGUGCCGACGGUCUCCAAGAAGAGCAACGGCGCCGCGUCAGUGUCGUAUGCGAAGCAGAAUGAAAUCAAGCGGCGUGGCUUUAACGCCAUAAUUCGGUGGUGUGCCUUCCAUCAAGACAGGGAGGGGCUUGCUUUGGCACAGGCAAUUGAGGCGGCGGAGGAGAUUGCUGACAUGAAUUCCAGUGUGCUGCGGUGGGUUCAGGAGAGCGUCGGAAGCUUCUCCUGUGGUCAGUGCUUGAUUGUUCUGACCUUCUUGUGCGAUGUGCUUGAUCGCCAAAGAAACGAAGGGAGCGUGAAUUGCUCUGCGGAAGCGUCGUCAAGUGAGUUUGUCAGAGGUUUGUGUCGCUGCAUCUCUCUCUUGACUGCGCGAUCGGCGAGUAGUGAGCAGCUGGAGAUUCAGCCGUUCUUGAUUCUCCUCUCUGCCGCUUACGGCUUACACCGUGUGACCCACGACAACCCGCUGAAGCUGUCACACGAAACUGUAACGUCUCUCUCGCCUCCGCCGGCACUUUGGUUCGCGCUUGUGCACCAGGUGAAUCUGUUUUGCACGUCAACAGCGGAGGCGCAGCCGAGCAUGCUGGAGAGCACCGCGAUUGAGGCCCUUCUCACGACGCUUCUUCUUUUCGAUCCAGUGCGGUGCCAGCAGCUUCUCGCCGCCCCUGAUCGCUUUCUCAUGGCAACGGUCGCAAAGCGCCUCGAUACGCUGAUCACGCCCGCCUUGAGCGCGGCUCGCCAAGAACGGAAGUCGGCUGCCAUCGCGGCAGCGUCCGCAGACGCGUGCCUCAAUGCUGAGUUCACCCCAGAAUCUGGGUCGCCACGUGGUGUCGACGAAAACGCGGCCAUGUCAGCCGCUGCGGCGUCGUUCUCUGUGUCUCCCGUAGGGGUGACAAGUAGUAUAUGUCUGGCGGACUUCGCACGUAUCAUUUUGCACGCACAUGCCGCACCGCCAACGUGUCGGGUGAACCUGAUGGAGUACCUGCUGUGCGUCCUGCGUCAUCCUUCCACCUUCACAGCUGAGGAGAGGCGCUGCUUGCCGGCUAUCAUGUCCGCCGUGCGAAGUCGGAAUCUAUGCCGGUUAAGCUCGGUGCCGGAUUACAUUUUGAAGUUCUCGGCCGCCAUGGAAUUCGAUGUUCUCGCGGAGGUGCUCUGCUACACGAGACGCACGUCCCAGUACCGUGAACGGAUUUACCAGAUGCUGUGUAAUUGCUUUCAGCGUGACGACGGCACCGACGACUUGCCAGAGCCAAAACUGGCCCCUCAUGUGGCGCUGUCGCUGCUACUGAGUGUCGGGUUGCAGCUGCCGUGGACGCUGUGUCGACCACUCCUCUUCUGCAGCCUGGCCGUGGUGCCGGAGGUGCUCACCAAGAUGCAGACGACAGCGGGGGAGGGCAGAGCAAGCAGCGUUGCUGUGCAAAGUGCGGAGAAAUCUCCAUCCGCGAAGGUGCCACUCUCACUCGACUUGUGUGCUAUCUUCUAUUUUUUAGCGAAGCGCCAGCAGUCUGUGGAUUCUGGCAGCCAUUCUGCAGAGGCGGCACCAGAGGUACGAGCCGAGAUACUCCAGAUGACCAGAGCGCUCGCCUGCUCGAUUGACUGGAAAGGUUGUACCGAAAAAAGCCUCACCGAAUCGACCCGGAGUAAAGGGAACUACACGAUGAUCAGCGUCGCGGCAAUGAGCGCGCUGAGCGCCUACGUGGAUGGCCGUCUCACUCACGAAUACCUCUCAGCCGACGAUGCCAUGGACGAGAAUGUGCUUCUCAGCGUGUUUGUGCUCCCCAUCGUGAGGGCCCGGACCCAUCAGCGAAUCAAGAUAGAGUCGCUUCCGGUGCUGGCCAAGACCGUGCGGCUUUUGACGACGGACGAGACGAAGCGGCGUUUGGUGAUGCACAUGAUUCGCCUCACCGGGGAGGGGUCCCUCUACAACUUUUUUGCCUUUGUGCGCUUCGUUGCCCCUUUAGCGACCGAGUUCAAGGUGGCGACGGCGGAGCACACGGCGCUUGUCUUCCGCCAGCGUACCCUGCCCAUCCGUGGGACGGCAGGGCGCACACUGCGGCGUGCGAAUGCGCUGAAAGUGCACACCACAAUGCUCCUUCGUACCGUGCGCUACGUGCUCGCGAUUGGGGCCCUCGAUGGUGGUAACGCUACCGCCAGCGCCGCCCGUCGCGAGAUGGUGCGGGUGUGGUUUGAGAACUACCUGAAUCGUCUGGCGGCUACCGAGAAGACUAGCAAAGACAGUGCGCUUGUGGCGGACAGUGUCAGCGAGGCGACAGCGCCCCCACAUCCAGGCGGGACAAAUGAUGUGGAGAAUAGAGCAAAAGAAGCGCAGUUCACUGCAGAAGAUGAUGGCGCACCGGCUGCUGGCAAGAGCAACGAGGACGACUUCGAGGACGGGGACGAUGCACCAGAUGAGCAAAAGGUGGACGCUGACGAUGCAGACAUCGCCUUCGACGCCGCUUUCACGAGCCCCGUGACGGACGAGGACGUGGAAGAAGUAUUGAGCCUUAUGCUGUACGUGGGAUGCAGGCAGCCGUAUCGCGUCAUGCUUCCUAUUGCUCGCCGCAUGGCAGAGCGGACGUCGAUCAUAGCGGAGGACAGAGUAUCAUCGGGCUGGUGUACAUCGGCCCCGGCGGGGGCCGCAGACGGGAACGCGAAGGUGAGCACACAAACCCUCAUGUGGGCUGCGCACGCCAUGAAUGGCGGCUCCAUCGCCGCCGCAGACGACGAGCACGAGUGCUCGGGGCUGCUCAGCGUGCCUCCUCUCGCCGCGCACUUUGUCUGCUCCGUUCGCAUGGACUCCUCCAUCGAGCUCCCCGCGCUGUUUCCUGCCUUCUUGAGGACUCUUCUGGCCAGCUGUGACAUCCGCAUCUUUCACCACGUCGUUUUCGCGUUUCUGAUGGCCGUCAAGAGGCGUCGCACGGUGCCAGUCUUGAGCGAGGACCUCCACAUCGGCUUCAUUGCCUUCUCCACCUUGCAGCGUCGCCUCGCCAUGGGGCAAAUCGAGGACAGCCAGGAGCGAAGCGCCGCGGUUUCGAAGUCGAUCGCCAGCUUCUUAAACCACCUCACCCUUGCGUUGCCACACCUCCAUGUGGCACAGCUGAGAUUACUUUCGGCCUACAUCCACCGCGGUGAUGCGAGCGCCUGGGCAUCGAACGAACCGACUUUGACCCUACUCGACUGCGCGAGAAGUCUGUCAAUGGAGCCGCAGGGCGUUGCGCCGCAAUUCAGCCUGGAGCCAGACGACGAGGACGACAACUCGAACGAAAAGGAUGACUUUGAGAGUCACGUAGCAGCCCACGCCAAGUUAGAGGCUUGCCUCCUCCGCCUCAUUCCAUAUCUUGGGGCGGUCGAGUUGAAGCAGCUCGGCCUCGCCCAUAUGCGGAGGCUCUCCGUCUUUUUCCCUCGCGUGUCUGCGUUUGUGGUGCAGCAGCUGCAGCCGCAGCUGAGCGACUUCAGCCAGCGGGAGCUGCUGCUGCUGGUCGCACAGUACCCUGCCGGGGCCGCUGAGGUGCUGACGUUACUUUCCACAACAGACAUGCAUGCCAGCGUCGAUCUCAACGACUACGUCACGAUUGCGAAGAGGCUGCCGAUGCAGAUCAGCGAGGCUAUUGUUGCGGCCCACCUGCCGCACAUGACCAUCGCCUGGGUCGCACGCGUGCUCUCUGCGCUGGCAGCGCGUCAUGAAGAUGUGCCUCUGCCGCUGCUGCGGCGCUUGCUGGAUCGGGUAUCGGCGGUGGCCGAGGACACCAGUGAGUCAGACAAGAGCUUGCUCAUGAUGAUACUGCAGGGGUACCUCUGCUUCCGCACCGAUCGCGGCAGCCUGGCGGAGCUGCCAUCCGAAAGGAAGCCAGCGACUGGAGAGAGCAGCGCUUCGGUCAUCGACGACUUGCUCUGGGCGUUGACGUCAACGACACACAUCGUUGGGGAGGCAGAGCAGCACCAGCGUCGUGAGCUCAUUCGCGCCUGCUGCGACCGCCUUCUCUCUCUUGAGCACAUCUUCACUGUCGAGGAGCUGCGGAUUUUUCUCAUAUCAUAUCCGACCUCUCUUCACCAGAUGCGGGAGCAGGGUGUUGUGGCGAAGGUCGAGCAGCAGCUCCUGCCCAACAUUCUGGCGACGACACCGCUCCAGUGGCGCGAGCUGGCAGCGCUGGUGCAUCUGCUCGCUGAGCACCGCGUCCUCCUGCCAUCCACCGUGGGCAUCAUUCUCGAGUCCGUCUUCACCAAGGCACAGCUCGCCAGUCUGCACGAGGCGGUCGUGAUGACCUCGGACAGCGAUAUCGUUUCCGCCUUGGAGGCACUCCUGCGCAUUGCGACGAAGUGCGCGGAGGCAGCUGCACGAGGAUAUCAGCCGUUCCCUCUCCUACGGGUCACUGAGCUGGUGCUGAGCGUGUUUGACGGCGUACAGCACUGGCUAGCCGCCGUCGCAGAGCUGGCCACGGCCACCACCUCGUCCCUGUCAGCGACGGAAGAGACAGCAAGCCGGCAUGUAUGCCGGAUGCUCCUGAGCCGCAGCAGUGAUCUGAACCCGAGCGAGUUUGCGCGACUGGUGCAGAGCAUCGGCCGCCUGAAGGCGUGGGAUCUGAUGCUGCCGGCGUCGCAGCCAAGUCCAUCCGGCGCCUUCACUCCGGCCGUUGCUGCCGCAGACGAGAACGCUACCUUCGAAAGAACGCUAGCGUUGUGCUACGAGCGCGCCGACGCACACAGCCGCUGCGUUCUCCUCAAGGCCAUCGCCAUGGACACGACCGUGCUGCGCCGCUUCGAGGCCGUCGUCUUCGCACCUAUUCAAACCGAUAUCCCGCUGCUUCCGUCCGAUGACCUGGAACUUGUCCUCACCGCUGCGCUGCAGGUCAGCAGCGAGGCAAUCGUGGAGCCCGUGUUGGACGCCAUCGACACUCGCAUGCUACCUAUGCUUGAUCAGUGCCGUCGCAGUGCCAUCGUGCGUCUCGUGCAGUGCCACGCGCACUUUAACAUCAAUGACGAGAUCGUCGUGACGGCAGCGCUUCAGGCUCUCGAGCGCCAGGCCAGCACCGAGGUGAAGCUGGACGUGCCUCAGCUGCUUAGCGUGCUGCAGGCCGUUGCCAGCCUGACCGUGUCGCAGGUGCCGGAGCGACUUCUUGUUCUGUGCUUUCAACGGCUGGAGAAGAUGGCGGCGUCGCUGACACCGCUUCAGCAGUAUCAGGUGGGUCGGCUAAUCCUCGACUUGGAGAUGGGCUACAGUAGUAGCGUGGGUGCGUUGGUGCUCCAUAUUCUCGACAGCCGAGACGGCGCACGGGGACAUAAGCACUUCCAGGCCAUGACGGAGGAGCUGUGUGACGCGUUCGAGGUCGAGCUGCCGACUCAGCUGCGUGCGUCUCGCCUGCGGAAGGUGAGGAGCAGGCGGCGUGUCAAGGAUUUUUGGUCUGCCCAACGCAAGGUGAAGCAGGAGGCUCUGCUGCAUCGCUGCUAGUAGUGACCGCGCCUACUUUCAAGGCGCGCAGCGAAUCCUGUGUGUGUGUGUGUGUUUGUGUUUCUGUAUCGGCGUCCACGUGGGCGGGUGCGCAGACAGAGGAUCAGGCAAGCGGGUGCUUAAGUCCAUCGGCGAAGUGCUGCGAGAGGAGGGCGGACAGAUUUUGUUGUCUAUGUGUCAUCCGCCUUUUGUUGUUCACAAAAAACAAAAACGAAAAAAAAGGACGCCUUUCGUCCAUCACACAGACGUAAUUUCUCAAGUCGAGGUGCCCAAGUAACAGGUAAGCAGAAUUGCACACCGCGCAGUGUCGCUGAACGCACGCAGGCACGCAGCUGCUUUG
rnacentral:misc_RNA from 1 species